rnacentral:rRNA from 1 species
AACGCUAGCUACAGGCUUAACACAUGCAAGUCGAGGGGAAACGACAUCGAAAGCUUGCUUUUGGUGGGCGUCGACCGGCGCACGGGUGAGUAACGCGUAUCCAACCUGCCCACCACUUGGGGAUAACCUUGCGAAAGUAAGACUAAUACCCAAUGAUAUCCCACGAAGGCAUCGGAAUGGGAUUAAAGAUUUAUCGGUGAUGGAUGGGGAUGCGUCUGAUUAGCUUGUUGGCGGGGUAACGGCCCACCAAGGCUACGAUCAGUAGGGGUUCUGAGAGGAAGGUCCCCCACAUUGGAACUGAGACACGGUCCAAACUCCUACGGGAGGCAGCAGUGAGGAAUAUUGGUCAAUGGGCGAGAGCCUGAACCAGCCAAGUAGCGUGCAGGAUGACGGCCCUAUGGGUUGUAAACUGCUUUUAUAAGGGAAUAAAGUGGGUCUCGUGAGACUUUUUGCAUGUACCUUAUGAAUAAGGACCGGCUAAUUCCGUGCCAGCAGCCGCGGUAAUACGGAAGGUCCGGGCGUUAUCCGGAUUUAUUGGGUUUAAAGGGAGCGUAGGCCGGAGAUUAAGCGUGUUGUGAAAUGUAGUGGCUCAACCUCUGCACUGCAGCGCGAACUGGUCUUCUUGAGUACGCACAACGUGGGCGGAAUUCGUGGUGUAGCGGUGAAAUGCUUAGAUAUCACGAAGAACUCCGGUUG